UACGUAGGGGACAAGCGUUGUCCGGAUUUACUGGGCGUAAAGAGCGCGCAGGCGGUCGUUCAAGUCGAGCGUGAAAGCCUCCGGCUCAACUGGGGAGGGUCACUCGAUACUGAUCGACUCGAAGGCAGGAGAGGGAAGUGGAAUUCCCGGUGUAGUGGUGAAAUGCGUAGAUAUCGGGAGGAACACCAGUGGCGAAGGCGACUUCCUGGCCUGUUCUUGACGCUGAGGCGCGAAAGCUAGGGGAGCAAACGGG
rnacentral:rRNA from 1 species